UUCAUGAUUAAGAUAGUUGCUGAGGGUGAA
rnacentral:piRNA from 1 species